UACGUAGGAGGCUAGCGUUGUCCGGAAUCAUUGGGCGUAAAGAGCGUGUAGGCGGCUCGGUAAGUCCGCUGUGAAAGUCCAGGGCUCAACCCUGGAAUGCCGGUGGAAACUGUCGAGCUAGAGUCCGGAAGAGGCGAGUGGAAUUCCUGGUGGUAGCGGUGAAAAUGCGCAGAUAUCAGGAGGAACACCAAUGGCGAAGGCAGCUCGCUGGGACGGUACUGACGCUGAGACGCGAAAGCGUGGGGAGCAAACAGG
rnacentral:rRNA from 1 species